AAUCAGGCCCGCAGCUGGAGCAGACAGGGCGGCUUCCGGGAUUUGGCGCGGCCUUUGUUUCUCGCUGCCGCCGAAGCUCCAAUUUUCGUCUGUCUGCUUUGUGUCCUCUGCACGUAGAAGCCCAGCCUGUGUGGCCCUGCGACCUGCGGGUAUUGGGAGAUCCACAGCUAAGACGCCAGGGCCCCCUGGAAGCCUAGAAAUGUGCUGGGAUUACAGGCGUGAGCCACCGCGCCCGGCUAUUCAUGUAUUAAUUUCUUACUUUAAUGUUCUUUAGAGUAUAAUGUAAGGUGUUUCAAAUUUUUGGUUAAAUUUAUUUCAAAGUAUAGUUAUAGUUAUUGAGAUGGAAUUGUUUUUUAAUUCAUUCUGAGAUAGUUGUCAGUGAAUAGAAAUUCUGACUUUUGGAUGUUGCUUUUGUAUUCUGCAAGUUUAAUAAAUUUGUUUAUUCUAAUAGGUUUUAGUAAAGUCUUAGGCUUUUCUUAUGAUUAUGCAUAGAGAUAAAAUAUUAUAUAGGAAUAAUUUAACUUUUUCUUCUCAACUGGAUGCUUUUGAUUGUAUUCUUCAAUAUGUCUUUCUUGGACAUUUAGUACUAUGUUUAGUAAGACUGAAGAAAUGGCACAUUGUUGACUUGUUUUAGAUCUUAGAGUAAAAUCUUACAUUUCCUUGUUUAGUAUGUAAUUAGCUCUGCAUUUUUUGUUAUAUGUGACAUUUAUUGGCUUGAGGUGCCUUUUUCCUAUACCUAAAUUUUUCAGAGAUUUAUCAUGAGGAAAUGUUGAAUUUUGUCAAGCUUUUAUUCUGCAUCUAUUUAAUGUUAAAAAUGUAAAAUCACAAUGAAUUCUACAUAAAUUGAAAAGUUUUCAAAGACUAUUAUGAACAUCUCUAUGUAUGCAAACUAAAAAAUUUAGAGAAAACUGAUAAAGUUUUAACUAUACACAACUUUCUAAGAUUGAACCAGUAAGAACCAGAAGUCUUAACCAGAGCAAAAAUGUAUAAAAUAUAUAAUGAUAUUGAAUAAGUAAUAAAAAAGUAUCAAUAAU
rnacentral:lncRNA from 1 species